rnacentral:tmRNA from 1 species
GGGGAUGUCGGGUUUCGACAGGGCCGGUUGGUCGGAAGUGGCAAGCCGAGGUGCCGGUAACCGUCUCGUAAAACAACCGGCGAAUAAAUAACUGCCAAGCCGCAGUACAGCUACGCUCUGGCGGCCUAAGUAAGCCGCACAGCGUCGUCCGCCACUCCCUCGCUCCGGUGGGGGGUGACCGGGCGUGAUAAUGCCGGAGUGCGCCGGGUCCGAGGCUCAUAGGAUCCGGCAAAGCCCAAUGAGCUGGCGCAUCCUGCGCACCUGCCGAUCGGUGCCGGAUGCGCGAGAGCCAAAGAUCGGCUAAGCUUGUAGGCACUUUCGACGGAUCGGCUCUGGACGGGGAGUUCGACUCUCCCCCAUCUCCACCA